rnacentral:rRNA from 1 species
GACGAAGGAUGCAAGCGUUAUCCGGAUUCAUUGGGUUUAAAGGGUGCGUAGGCGGACUGGUAAGUCAGUGGUGAAAUCUCUUUGCUUAACAAAGAAACUGCCAUUGAUACUGCUAGUCUAGAGUAUAGAUGACGUUGGCGGAAUAUGACAUGUAGUGGUGAAAUACUUAGAUAUGUCAUAGAACACCGAUUGCGAAGGCAGCUAACGAAACUAUAACUGACGCUGAGGCACGAAAGUGCGGAGAUCAAACAGG